GGGGGGGGGGGGGGGGGGGGGGGGGGGGGGCGGGGCGGGGGGGGGCGCGGGGUGGCGGGCGGGCUGGGUGGCGAGCGGCGCACGGGUGCGUGGCGCGUAUGCAACUUGCCCUAUCCGGGGGGAUACCCCGGCGAAAGACGGACUAAUCCUGCGUAUGCUCCCCACUUGGCAUCCCGGGGGGAGGAAAGAACUUCGGUAUAGGAUCGGCGUGCGUCCCCUUAGCUUGUUGGUGGGGUAACGGCUCACCAAGGCAACGACGGGUAGGGGAACUGAGAGGUUUAUCCCCCACACUGGUACUGGGACACGGACCAGACGCCUACGGGAGGCAGCAGUGAGGAAUAGUGGCCAAUGGGCGCGAGCCUGAACCAGCCAAGUCGCGUGAAGGAUGACUGUCUUAUGGAUUGUAAACUUCUGUUAAACGGGAAUAACAAGAGUCACGUGUGACUCCCUGCAUGUACCGUAUGAAUAAGCAUCGGCUAACUCCGUG
rnacentral:rRNA from 1 species